rnacentral:tmRNA from 3 species
GGGGGUGUUUGGCUUUGACAGCGUAGGUCUUUGAAAGUGUAAGCAUGUCGUGCGUUGGAUAAUUAGCACGUAAAUCUGAAUAUUCAAACUUCAAAUGGCAAUACUCAGUAUGCCAUGGCUGCCUAAUCAGUGAUUAGUUAGUCAUUAGGGCCGCCGGGCCGGUUGGUCUGUUACCAUGCCCCGCCGCCGACUUAAAAACAAAACAGGCUGCGAUAACCGGAAGCUGUAAAGGUUAUCUAAGACCCAUAGCUAAGUGAUCAGUUGGUUUGUUCAUUUCCUGCUGAUCGCCGACAAUUAAUAGAUGAAAUAAGCAUGUAGAAAGCUUUUGGGGAAUACGUUUGGACACCGGUUCGAACCCGGUCACCUCCACCA